AAAGAAAUUAUGUAAUUUGGUAAUAUAAUAUAAUAUUUUAUAUUAUAUGAUCUAGGUUCGAUCCCUAGUUUCUUUA
rnacentral:tRNA from 1 species